UAAUGCGUCCUCACCUACGAAAUUUAAG
rnacentral:sRNA from 1 species